rnacentral:rRNA from 1 species
CAGUACCGCGGUAAUACGGAGGAUCCAAGCGUUAUCCGGAAUCAUUGGGUUUAAAGGGUCCGUAGGCGGUCUUGUAAGUCAGUGGUGAAAGCCCAUCGCUCAACGGUGGAACGGCCAUUGAUACUGCAGGACUUGAAUUAUUGGGAAGUAACUAGAAUAUGUAGUGUAGCGGUGAAAUGCUUAGAGAUUACAUGGAAUACCAAUUGCGAAGGCAGGUUACUACCAAUUGAUUGACGCUGAUGGACGAAAGCGUGGGUAGCGAACAGGAUUAGAUACCCCGGUAGUCCCUGUCUCUUAUACA